rnacentral:lncRNA from 1 species
CGGCACCAUGGAAAGGCCGUGCUGCAUGUCCCAGGAGUGGCCUGGGAUGUGGUGAAUCCCAUCAAGAGACAAGAAAAUCCUUGGUCACAGAGGACAUCCCAGGGAACACAAGUGCCGGGGAUUCCAGCUUGCAUCAGCAGCAGAGUAACAGAAGGCAGUUGUUUAAAGCCAUGCAAGAGCAUCCAAAAUACUAUCUGUGACACGUAUUCAUUAGCCACGUUCCAGGUGUAAGUGGACCAGUUGCUGCAUUUCCUAAAUGACAGAGCAAUGAUGCCACCAAUGAGGGAUAAAGAAAUCUGCCUUGUGCAAGGUAUUUCACAACAGCCUCAUGGUUGCAGAGCUUCUCAGGUUCAGAUUCUCACUGUUAUGGAAUGACUGCAACAGCUGGUGCUACCCUAGUGGUACAACACCCAUACCACUGUCCCUCCAGGAAACUGCUCCAAGCAUAGACGAGGCAGCUCCACGUGACAGAAGUUGCCUUUCUGACUAGAUCGGAUGCAUCAGUUGCAUACAUCUGUCUUCCUGAGGAGGUCAGAAGGAACUACAAGCACAUGUGCUCAUGAGUUCCCCACAGUAGGAUACUAGGAAAGGUUUGAGUUCACUUACACACAAUUCUCACAAGCAAGUCAUUCUAUGGUUUGCUGCAGGAAUGCCAUAGCAUCAGUUAAACUGGAAAGACUUUCUUUAUCUGGGACCCAAUGUUAAGAACUCUUAGUAACAGCACACUCUGCAACAUGGAACUAACCUGGACCAAUAUGUGGGAAGUAGCUCUUCUGCUUCCAAACACUGCUGCUGCAGCCACAAUGCAUUGAAUACAUGCAUACAAGCAAUAUUAAAUCAACAUAAUCACAUUAGUGUAAGCACUGGCUAUGAUUACAUUACAAGUUUUCUGUGAGUUGCAGAUCCAUGUUAAUUGGCAUGCUCAGAGAGAUCUGAAAAAAGGUUGG